rnacentral:lncRNA from 1 species
CUUAUAUUACUAACAGAACUUUACAGCAGAUAAAUUUCGUCACGUUUUUGCACUAACAGAACUUUUAGUGCAACAAAUUUUAGAUUAAAUGUAAUACCAUGACUAGCGAUAAGAAUCAGCAAAAGUCACGAAAAGCUAUUACGUUUAUCCCAUUUGAAGGUUUCAGAUUUAUUACCUAAUUUUAUUUCCGGAAGCAAAGUUCGGACGUCCAAAUGGUAUGUUCCGCAUUCGGAUUCCAUCCUGCAAAUCCAUAUUGUCGAUAUUUACCAGUGAAGAUAGGAUCUAGAUAUGAAUUUAUAGGAUCUGGUAGAAAUCUAUUCAGCAACGGAGAUCUUGAAUAUUUCGCGGAAGUAAUCAGUAGGCUAACGUCACGUCAUAAGCUCACCUGGCUGUAUGGUCAUGGUCAGGUAGCAUCAAUGUUUUGGAUCACCUGAAUCCUGGAGGAACAUCUUCUCGGUACCAAGGUCGGGCGACUUUUCCAGUGCGUAUUGCGGUAGCAGUUUAAGCACAAAAGGGAUGGAGAUUGCUGUUGCGGUACGAGAAUCCAUCCUCGCUAAGACCAGAAAAUCUCACAUCAAUAAAGCAAACCAACUAAACUUGAGCUUCUGGGCAUAAAAGGUGAAGCCCAAACUAAUGGAAAUUAAAGCUAUCUAUCAUCAAAAUUUAUCUUGAUCACAACAUACUAUCCGUGAAUGCGAGCAAGAUAGUCUGUAUAUCUUCUGCUAGAUAUAAAGUUAAUUUUCAGUCUAUUUCGAGUUGGAAGUGUUUUGGAAGGUCGGUAUUUUGACCAUUGGUAAAUUGACCAAAGAAUUAAAAC